UACGAAGGGGGGCUAGCGUUGCUCGGAUUGACUGGGCGUAAAGGGCGCGUAGGCGGUUCGUACAGUCAGACGUGAAAUUCCUGGGCUCAACCUGGGGGCUGCGUUUGAUACGUGCGGACUUGAGUGCGGAAGAGGGUCGUGGAAUUCCCAGUGUAGAGGUGAAAUUCGUAGAUAUUGGGAAGAACACCGGUGGCGAAGGCGGCUCACUGGCCCGGUACUGACGCUGAGGUGCGAAAGCGUGGGGAGCAAACAGGG
rnacentral:rRNA from 1 species